AACGAACGCUGGCGGCAGGCUUAACACAUGCAAGUCGAGCGCCCCGCAAGGGGACCGGCAGACGGGUGAGUAACGCGUGGGAAUCUACCCAUCACUACGGAACAACUCCGGGAAACUGGAGCCAAUACCGUCUACGUCCUUCGGGCGAACGAUUUAUCGGUGAUGGAUGCGCCCGCGUUGGAGUAGCUAGUUGGUGGGGUAAUGGCCUACCAAGGGGCCGAUCCAUAGCUGGUCUGAGAGGAUGAUCAGCCACACUGGGCCUGAGACACGGCCCAGACUCCUACGGGAGGCAGCAGUGGGGAAUAUUGGACAAUGGGCGAAAGCCUGAUCCAGCCAUGCCGCGUGAGUGAUGACGGCCCUAGGGUUGUAAAGCUCUUUCGCAGGUGAAGAUAAUGACGGUAACCUGAGAAGAAGCCCCGGCUAACUUCGUGCCAGCCGCCGCAGUAACAC
rnacentral:rRNA from 1 species